rnacentral:tRNA from 1 species
GGAGAGAUGCCGGAGUGGUCGAACGGGGCGGUCUCGAAAACCGUUGUGCCUUAUGGGCACCGAGGGUUCGAAUCCCUCUCUCUCCUCCA